CAGGUUUCAGGUGAGCAGGAAGGGGAAGUUGUGGAGGGACUCGUUCCUGGUGGAGAGAGGGAAGUUGCUCCACCAGCAGGUGGAGAGGAAGGAGGUGUCGCCGGAGGAGAACUUCCUGCCCAAACACCAGCGGGUGAAGGACCUCUGUCAGCGGGCAGAGUACCAGACGCCCUGCCAGCAGACCGGACAGAAGUGGCAGUGCGUGGAGGACACUGCAGGAAAGCUGCGGCUCUUCAAGUGUAAGAGCGAAGGGGGAGGAGCCAAACAUGCUCAGAGGGGCGUGGCCAGCCGCCAGCGUCCAAUCAGCAUCAAAUCCCAGCUGUACCUUCCUGACUCGGAUGCCUGCAGCUGUGACUUCGGUGACCUCCGACCCUUCGUGUCGAAGCCGUUCAAGAAAUCUUUCUUUA